rnacentral:rRNA from 1 species
GAUGAACGCUGGCGGCGUGCUUAACACAUGCAAGUCGAACGGUGAAGGCGGAGCUUGCUCUGCUGGAUCAGUGGCGAACGGGUGAGUAACACGUGAGCAAUCUGCCCCUGACUCUGGGAUAAGCGCUGGAAACGGCGUCUAAUACUGGAUACGAGCUGCGAAGGCAUCUUCAGCAGCUGGAAAGAAUUUCGGUCAGGGAUGAGCUCGCGGCCUACCAGCUUGUUGGUGAGGUAAUGGCUCACCAAGGCGUCGACGGGUAGCCGGCCUGAGAGGGUGACCGGCCAACGGGGGACUGGGGCAGGGCCGAGCCUCCUCCGGGGGGCAGGAGUGGGGAUAAUUGCCCAGUGGGCGAAGGCCAGAGGCGGCAGCCCGGAGAGGGGACGGACGGCCUUCGGUUUGAAACCCUUUUUGGGCGGGGAGAAAGCGAAAGUGGCGGUGCCUAAGAAAAAGGCGCCGGCUAGCUACGUG